GACGAACGCUGGCGGCGUGCUUAACACAUGCAAGUCGAGCGGAGCGGUGAACGGGUGAGUAACGCGUGAGUAACUGCCCCCCUCUCUGGGAUAACAGUUGGAAACGGCUGCUAAUACCGGGUAGUGGGGGAUGACUCGCGUCCUAUCAGCUUGUUGGUGGGGUCGUGGCCUACCAAGGGGACGACGGGUAGCCGGCCUGAGAGGGCGACCGGCCACAUGGGGCUGAGAUACGGCCCAAACUCCUACGGGAGGCAGGAGUGGUGAAUAUUGCACAAUCGGGGAAACGCUGAUGCAGCAACGCGCGUGCGGGAUGACGGCCUUCUGGUUGUAAACCGCUUUCAGCCAUGACGCGGUAGUGGCAGAAGAAGCACCGGCUAACUACGUGCCAGCAGCCGCGGUAAUUC
rnacentral:rRNA from 1 species